rfam:Heligmosomoides polygyrus genome assembly, scaffold: HPBE_scaffold0000819
GCGCUGGUGGUGUAAUGGCGUAGAGCAUUCCCGUCAGAGGGGGGCGCGGGUUCGAGUCCCGCCUGGUGCC